AUUGAACGCUGGCGGAAUGCUUUACACAUGCAAGUCGAGCGGCAGCGCGGGGGCAACCCUGGCGGCGAGCGGCGAACGGGUGAGUAACAUAUCGGAACGUACCCAGUCGUGGGGGAUAACUAUCCGAAAGGAUAGCUAAUACCGCAUACGUCCUGAGGGAGAAAGCGGGGGAUCGCAAGACCUCGCGCGAUUGGAGCGGCCGAUAUCGGAUUAGCUAGUUGGUGGGGUAAAGGCUCACCAAGGCGACGAUCCGUAGCGGGUCUGAGAGGACGACCCGCCACACUGGAACUGAGACACGGUCCAGACUCCUACGGGAGGCAGCAGUGGGGAAUUUUGGACAAUGGGGGCAACCCUGAUCCAGCCAUUCCGCGUGAGUGAAGAA
rnacentral:rRNA from 1 species